CACGUAAGGGGCAAGCGUUGUUCGGAAUUAUUGGGCGUAAAGGGCGUGCAGGCGGUCGAGAAAGUCUGGUGUGAAAGGUUGGAGCUUAACUCCAAAAUCGCGCUGGAAACUGCUCUGACUUUUGGAGUCCCGGAGAGGAAGCUAGAAUUCCAGGUGUAGGGGUGAAAUCUGUAGAUAUCUGGAAGAAUACCGAUGGCGAAGGCAAGCUUCUGGCCGAGGACUGACGCUGAGGCGCGAAAGCGUGGGGAGCAAAUAGG
rnacentral:rRNA from 1 species